rnacentral:lncRNA from 1 species
AAAAGGAAUUAAUGGAAGCAAGAGCAAAGUUAGAUGCCAGUUGUUUUAGUGCAUCACCUAUUCUAUUUUUGAUUAUUUCUAAUAUGGUUAGUUUUGUUAUAUUAUAAUUAGAAAGAAAGAGCAAGAUCUUAUGGUAGUGCCAAGUCACCUGUUACUUGGAUCUAUAGUCGCUUUUGGAGAAUGGUUUAGCCAAUUUAAUUUUAUUUUGGAGUAAUUUUAUAUUAUUUUAUUUUAUUUUAUGUUGAUUGGAUUUGUUUAUUUAUUGUCAUUUUAGAAUUUUUAUUGGAUUGUUUUUUUUAGAAAUUUUUUUGUUAUUUUUUGAUUUUAUAUAUAUAGAUUCAUGUAUUUGUUUAGAAUUAUUAAAUGAUUGAAUGAAAAUAGCUUUUUUUUUUUUCUUGAAAUUCUGAUACGUGAGAGUUAGGUAUUCUCUUUCUCCUUCCCUCUCUUUCUUAUAAUGGUCCUGCAUCAACUUUGGUAGGUAGGGAAGAAAUUUUUUGGUUUGCUGUGACAUUGUCUUCCCCUGAGGGGUCAGACUUCAUACGUUUGGGCAACUCCUUUCUCAGUCGAGAAGGGGUGCCGAUUCCUCUUUCAUUUGAAGCAUACUGCCACGCCACCUUAGUAACCGUCCCGUGGGAUUCAAGCCUCACAAGGAAGCAACAGAAAAAAAAAAAACUAUGCUUGCUGUGGGCUGCGGCCACCCCAUGGCCCUUAGGCUUCACAGAGAAAACAAAAGGAAAAUCUCUUCUUCCAGUUCCCAUGGACAACCGCUAAUCCUUGUUCCCUCCCUGCGACCCAACGAAGAAGACUGUCAUCGCAGCCUGAUCCCUAGCCACAACCACCACUCGAGGCCGGGUCUGGGAAGAGGAUUGUUCCACAUCCGAGGCCGCCACGUGCCACGUGCCGCCUGCGGCGUCGCACUCGG